AAAUUGAUUGUUUAAGUAAAAACUCUAACAAAUCACGUGCCAGAUGUUUCGGUAAUACGUGGGGAGUAAACGUUAGCCAAAAAUACUUGGCGUAAAUCGCUGAAAGGGUGCAAUUAAAUACUAAAAAAAACGCAAAUAAUAACUUUGCUAUAUUUUUUAUCAAAUAAAUUGCUUUGAGUUCUUGUUAAGAAAAUAGAAUAAGCUAAGUAGAGAUAAAAUUCUUUUAUAUAGUUUGGAAUAUCGAUUGCAAAGGCAAUUUUCUAA
rnacentral:rRNA from 1 species